GGAGUAUUAAGACAAAAAAGAAGCUUCUAACUUCAUUUUAAGCGGUUAAAUUCCGUUUAUACUCCU
rnacentral:tRNA from 1 species